CAAAACGUUGUUGCGACAGCAUUCCUGCGUAGUACGAGAGGAACCGCAGGUACGGACCAAUGGCACAAUACUUGUUCGAGCGAACAGUGGUAUGACGCUACGUCCGUUGGAUUAUGCCUGAACGCCUCUAAGGUCGUAUCCGUGCUGGACUGCAAUGAUAAAUAAGGGGCAAUUUGCAUUGUAUGGCUUCUAAACCAUUAAAAGUUUGUAAUUUAUUUUACAAACGACAAUGGAUGUGAUGCCAAUGUAAUUUGUAA
rnacentral:rRNA from 1 species